rnacentral:lncRNA from 1 species
AACCCUUAUUUUUCUAAUUAUCUUUUCCUUUCCCACACUCUCUCUUCUCUCUCAUAGCUCACGUCCCUCCUCUCUUCCAGCGGUGUCUUUAGUGGUUGUGACCGCCGCCGCCGCCGCCGACGACUCAGGUGUGUCUCUCUGUGUCAAUUUAUACUCUUUUACCAUUAUACAACCUACUAUUUUCGUUUUCUAGAAAGUAAUGCUCCAAACUACACAUUGACCGCGUUGUAAUUUUCCCUCUUUAAUGAAAUUAAUUAGUACUUAUUAGUUUUUAUCUUUUCCACAAGAAUAACUUAGUAGUCUUUGUGUAUGGUGUUGGUAUUUAUCUUAAUUCUUGUAAUUUAGUCAAUUUAAUAGUCUUCUGUGAACUUUGCGGCUGGCUAUGGGCUGUGUGUUUAGUAUUUCUCUAAAACUUUUAUGUACUUUGCGGCUGGCUAUUAUCAAAGUUGUGUAUAAUAAACUCGUAAAGACUUGAAUAAACUAGAUGCAUGACUUAUAGUUGUAAUCACAAUCAUUAACCCACAUCACUCUGUAGGUUGAACUGAAAUCCACUCUUGACAAAGAUAAGUUUCUGAACCAAUGACACACAAAUCGUUCCAGCAUAGUUGUCCAUGUGAAGGCUAAACUUGUGUAGAUACAGGUUGCCCAUAUUAUUUGAUACCCAAACCUGAAGAUGUUGGCAUUGUACCUAUAAUGAAUAUCUCCCUCAUGUAUAAUAGAUGCAUGAUGUACCUGGUGUUUCCUCCAAUUAAAGCACAGUUGACCCGCAAAGUGAUGCAAACACCCAUGGUUCAACAAAACCAUUCUGGAAAGUAGUGUGGUGUUGCGUAUGUCUUUUUUAUUUUUGUGUUAUCAUGUACCUUUACUAUAGUAGUUUGUAAUAUGUUCAGGGUGUAGCAGAGUAUCAAGAAAAAGGUCCCUAAUUGUACAAUUCUUAUGUCAGGCAUGGCUAUCGAUGUUAUGGUAUGAUAGCUACUAUUUUGGUUAUGUAAACCAGUAGAUAUUUCAAAUGUGUUUAAAUGCUACUUUAUGUAGUGAUAUUAGAUUAAUACUCCAUCUAUUCCCAUAUUUUAUUUUCUGAAUUUAUUUUAUAUUGGUAUUCAUCCAAAUAAAGGAACUCCAAAAG